rnacentral:tRNA from 1 species
GAUUCAGUAGUGUAGGGGUAUCAUGGGCGCUUGCCAUCACAGCAUUCUGCGCCCGACCCGGGUUCAAAUCCCGGCUGAAUCA